GUGCUUGCUUUGGCAGCACAUAUACUAAAAUUGGAAGGAUACGGAGAUUAGCAUGGCCCCUGUGAAAGGAUGACACGUAAAAGUGGAUCUAGGGGCGCCCUGGUU
ensembl:snRNA U6 U6 spliceosomal RNA